UUCAACAACUGCCGGGACAAUUUUCAUUUCAUUUAUUUAAGUCUUACUAAUUUUGUAAAAGUGCUUGGCUGUUUUAAUUUGUUUGUGUUUUUUCAAAAUUGAAGCUUUAUUAUGCGCAGUCAUUGAAAGCGGCGUCAACAAAAGCACAAUUCGAAUAUAUUUUUCAAAGUUUUGGAGCUACGACCGAAUAGCGAUGAAUCAAGUAUCGAAACUGAGCGCCCACCGAGAACCGGAAACGCGGAAACGCUGAGGAUGACGGCCACUUGUGGAAUGGCUGCAGCCACGAAGCGACAGCGUCGGCAGACCCGAGUCCAGGCCAAAGGCGAAUCACAGGCCUCGCCGAGGAGCGCCGAGCUGAGCAACAAGUCCACCGCCCUGGAAUGGGCUGGGGCUUCUACCCGCACGAAGGCCCGAAUCGAAGCCAAAACUGGCGAAUGGAGAGCAACUGAACGGGCUCAAAGCCUGAGUCAAAUUCUGAAUUCACACCCCGCCCGCUGCUCCCAGGAAUUUGACACUUCUCAAGUCUCAGGUGGUGUGCGAUGUGCAUUGAACUCGGUUUAACCUGCACAGCAUGGAAAUCAGACUGAAGUCCGCCUGCAGCCCAUAGCAACUGUGGUAUAUAGUGACUUCCGUAAUAAUAAACCAUUUGUUUACUUAUUACAGCCCAAACGGAUAUACAUAUGUUGGGCCCAAGAGAUAUA